rnacentral:rRNA from 1 species
UUCCCACGGGAGGCAGCAGUGGGGAAUUUUGGACAAUGGGGGCAACCCUGAUCCAGCCAUGCCGCGUGAGUGAAGAAGGCCUUCGGGUUGUAAAGCUCUUUCGGUGGGAACGAAACGGGCGCGGCUAACACCUGCGCUCAAUGACGGUACUCACAGAAGAAGCACCGGCUAACUACGUGCCAGCAGCCGCGGUAAUACGCAGGGUGCGAGCGUUAAUCGGAAUUACUGGGCGUAAAGCGUGCGCAGGCGGUGCGCCAAGCUCGAUGUGAAAGCCCCGGGCUUAACCUGGGAAUUGCAUUGAGGACUGGCGUGCUCGAGUGCGGCAGAGGGGGGUGGAAUUCCACGUGUAGCAGUGAAAUGCGUAGAGAUGUGGAGGAACACCGAUGGCGAAGGCAGCCCCCUGGGCCGACACUGACGCUCAUGCACGAAAGCGUGGGGAGCAAACAGGAUUAGAUACCCUGGUAGUCCACGCCCUAAACGAUGUCGACUGGUUGUUGGGGAAGGCAACUUCCUUAGUAACGAAGCUAACGCGUGAAGUCGACCGCCUGGGGAGUACGGCCGCAAGGUUAAAACUCAAAGGAAUUGACGGGGACCCGCACAAGCGGUGGAUGAUGUGGAUUAAUUCGAUGCAACUAAACCUUACCUACCCUUGACAUGUACCGAACCUGGCUGAGAGGCU